rnacentral:sRNA from 1 species
GCUGGGUGCGGUGGUGCACGGCUGUAAUCCCAGGGACUCGGGAGGCUGAGGCAGGAGGAUCGUGAGUUCCAGGCCAGCCUCAACAAAAGUGAGACACUAAACAACUCAGUGAGACCCUGUCUCUA